AGCGAACGCUGGCGGCAGGCUUAACACAUGCAAGUCGAACGCCCCGCAAGGGGAGUGGCAGACGGGUGAGUAACACGUGGGAACGUACCCUUUGGUUCGGAAUAACUUGGGGAAACUCAAGCUAAUACCGGAUAAGCCCUUAUGGGGAAAGGUUUAAUGCCGAAGGAUCGGCCCGCGUCUGAUUAGCUAGUUGGUGAGGUAAUGGCUCACCAAGGCGACGAUCAGUAGCUGGUCUGAGAGGAUGAUCAGCCACACUGGGACUGAGACACGGCCCAGACUCCUGCGGGAGGCAGCAGUGGGGAAUAUUGGACAAUGGGGGCAACCCUGAUCCAGCCAUGCCGCGUGAGUGAUGAAGGCCUUAGGGUUGUAAAGCUCUUUUACCCGGGACGAUAAUGACUGUACCGGGAGAAUAAGCCCCGGCUAACUUCGUGCCAGCCGCCGCGGUAA
rnacentral:rRNA from 1 species